CUGUUCAGUGGUGUUAUGACAACUUCAUUAACUACCGGUCCCUGAUGUCUGCAGACAAUGUACGACAGCAGCUAUCAAGAAUUAUGGACAGAUUUAAUUUGCCUCGUCGAAGUACUGAUUUCACAAGCAGGGACUAUUAUAUUAAUAUAAGAAAAGCAUUGGUUACUGGGUAUUUUAUGCAGGUAAGUAGUUAAAUGACCAGGCAGUAUUUGCUUUUGGUCUGGUUUGAGGUGAAAAGUGUCUAAAAAAGUUGGUUCUUACUGUUAGGUCUAGUUUCUCAGAAUCCUAUCUUAUGAGUGACAGGUUAGUGCCUUAAUUAACUAAGAAGUUUUGUUUGUUUGGAUAUAAUGUUAGAAGUAACUGGAGUCUUUGUUUUAACAAAUGAGUACCUUGGCCUUUUCAGGUACAAAUAGAAAUUUUAACCGUUGAAUUUUGAUAAACCUACUAAAGUUUCUCAAACUCUUGGUAUUAAAAUAUAUUAUCAUAAGACCACCAAAAUGAAGCUUUUAAAUGCAUGAAUCCUACAGUCUCUUUUCCUUUUUAAGCAUCUCCACUAUUUUCCAUGUGAC
rnacentral:lncRNA from 1 species